rnacentral:rRNA from 1 species
GACGAACGCUGGCGGCGUGCUUAACACAUGCAAGUCGAACGGAAAGGCCCUGCUUUUGUGGGGUGCCCGAGUGGCGAACGGGUGAGUAACACGUGAGUAACCUGCCCUUGACUUUGGGAUAACUUCAGGAAACUGGGGCUAAUACCGGAUAGGAGCUCCUGCUGCAUGGUGGGGGUUGGAAAGUUUCGGCGGUUGGGGAUGGACUCGCGGCUUAUCAGCUUGUUGGUGGGGUAGUGGCUUACCAAGGCUUUGACGGGUAGCCGGCCUGAGAGGGUGACCGGCCACAUUGGGACUGAGAUACGGCCCAGACUCCUACGGGAGGCAGCAGUGGGGAAUAUUGCACAAUGGGCGGAAGCCUGAUGCAGCAACGCCGCGUGCGGGAUGACGGCCUUCGGGUUGUAAACCGCUUUCGCCUGUGACGAAGCGUGAGUGACGGUAAUGGGUAAAGAAGCACCGGCUAACUACGUGCCAGCAGCCGCGGUGAUACGUAGGGUGCGAGCGUUGUCCGGAUUUAUUGGGCGUAAAGGGCUCGUAGGUGGUUGAUCGCGUCGGAAGUGUAAUCUUGGGGCUUAACCCUGAGCGUGCUUUCGAUACGGGUUGACUUGAGGAAGGUAGGGGAGAAUGGAAUUCCUGGUGGAGCGGUGGAAUGCGCAGAUAUCAGGAGGAACACCAGUGGCGAAGGCGGUUCUCUGGGCCUUUCCUGACGCUGAGGAGCGAAAGCGUGGGGAGCGAACAGGCUUAGAUACCCUGGUAGUCCACGCUGUAAACGGUGGGUACUAGGUGUGGGGUCCAUUCCACGGGUUCCGUGCCGUAGCUAACGCUUUAAGUACCCCGCCUGGGGAGUACGGCCGCAAGGCUAAAACUCAAAGGAAUUGACGGGGCCCCGCACAAGCGGCGGAGCAUGCGGAUUAAUUCGAUGCAACGCGUAGAACCUUACCUGGGUUUGACAUGGAUCGGGAGUGCUCAGAGAUGGGUGUGCCUCUUUUGGGGUCGGUUCACAGGUGGUGCAUGGCUGUCGUCAGCUCGUGUCGUGAGAUGUUGGGUUAAGUCCCGCAACGAGCGCAACCCUUGUUCACUGUUGCCAGCACGUUAUGGUGGGGACUCAGUGGAGACCGCCGGGGUCAACUCGGAGGAAGGUGGAGAUGACGUCAAGUCAUCAUGCCCCUUAUGUCCAGGGCUUCACGCAUGCUACAAUGGCUGGUACAGAGAGUGGCGAGCCUGUGAGGGUGAGCGAAUCUCGGAAAGCCGGUCUCAGUUCGGAUUGGGGUCUGCAACUCGACCUCAUGAAGUCGGAGUCGCUAGUAAUCGCAGAUCAGCAACGCUGCGGUGAAUACGUUCCCGGG